GGGAUUAUUAAGCACUAAUGAAGAUUCUACACUUACAGACAGCUCAAAGAGCUUGGCAACGCACUCGAGGGAGUGAACCCAAACUGAUUCCAGAAGGGAAAUGGGAAAGGAGAAAGUAAAUGAGGCUGCCUCAUCUUCCAGGAGCUCCUUUUAGUGCUUCAGUAGAUGGCUGAUCAACAGUGGCCUCAAAUUCAGGCCCACUGUCAUCACCUGUAGCUCCAUUCUGCCAGUGCAGUCUACAGCACAGUUAAGCGGGGAGAUGGAUGGCGACUCACUCUGCAUGGAGCAGCGGGACAUGAGAGCCUUGGCACCUGGAGCCAUCUCUCAUCCCCAAAACCAAAUGAUGUGGGAGAGGAAGGAGGAUGAAAAAGAUAUUAGGCAGGCUGCAUCUCAAGAGAAGAAAACUCCCUUUAAUCCCCUUCUCAGUAAAUAAAUAUCCAUUUGAGAUCCAGCACAGGAAGAUGAAGAGGAUAUGAGAGUAAGAACCACACAAUCAGAAGAAAAGCACACAUUCUCAAGAGCACCAUCAGAGCACUGGCCCUCUGCAUUCCCAUCCUGAGUUUUGAUACCAACCAUGCUGGUACACCUGAUUCCUUUCCAGAGGAAACUGCUCUGCUGUGUUCCUGGUUUAUAUGUUGGAGCAGUGAGGUCAGGACCUACCUUUCAUGCAAGGACCAAGGAAUCAGAACCAAGACCAUCGCUGCGGAUGCAAAGACCUGGUGAGCUACCCCUUCUGUGUCCAAUGGAGAGAGGCUGGAAAACUGCUAAAAAAGGGAAAGAACUGGCCAAUGCCCUGUUGUUGUGAAGGAGUCAAGUAGCAGACAGAGACACAAAACAGAACUUGCAGCACCUUGACUUCUGGGACUGAACGCAAUGUCAGCUCAGGUGAGCCCAAAAUCACCCCACUAACCCCCUUUCUCAGGCUACAGAGGAAAGCCACCGCUGGUACCUUGGAUCUCCAUGGGAACCAUCAGAGAGAGGGGAAAUAAAAGAGGAGAGAAGAGAACAGACCAGAAUGAGCAGCAGGGAAUGAGGAGAGGGCGGUGGUGGGGUGAGGGGCAUGUGGAAACCAUCCAUGCACCAAGGUGUCCUGCAGCGAGCAAUAACAGGCUUACUGCAAAGCCUGCUGUACUGGGGAGGAAAACUGAGCAAUGCAUGGAGCCUGUGGUGGGGGAAUGGUGUGUUUCCUCACAGAAGAUUAACCCGGCAGCAAUACUGGCAGAGGGAGCUUAUGAGGAAAAGCAAAAGCAGGCAAGAAAAGCUCGCUCUUCCCAUACAUUUUGUGGGGAGAUGGUGGUGAGCAAAGCAGGGAGACAAAGGAUGCUUCUCUAUACCCAUCCUCCUCUUCCCCUCCAGUCCUAGAGGAACCUGGAUUAGGAAAAUACUUUCCACAGUGUCACCUCCUCCUCUUUUUCUCCAGCCAUGGCUUGGUGAUCUUCAGGCAUUGAUGGCUGUCACCCAGGCUAGUGCGAGAAACCUGGGGUGCCAGUGCCUCCUCUUACAGUACCAAGGAGUUCAUCCCCUUGUUGGAUAGCAAAGCAGCUGCCAUAGGGCAGAAGGAUGGGAGCUCAUGGUGGUCCAGGAAAGGGCUGGCAGUGUGCUGGCCAUGCAAUGCUUCACAGGCAAGUGCCUUUCUCCUGUUCCAUGACAGCACUACAUUCUUGCUGCCCAAAUACAAUGUGGGAUCACCUCCACAUUGACAAAGGGACGAGCUUGUGUUCUUCAUCAAGGGUAAGCCCCAUCUUCCAGAACACCUCCUUGCCUACCUGACAAUGGGAGUAACAUAGAGAUUUAGUCUUGGUCUCUGCCUCUGCCCGUCUCUGAGUUAUCUUCCCCCCCAUUCCUGGCUGCUCCUUUUUAGGUCAAGGAAUGAAAUUCAAGGCGGAAUUAGACAGAGAAGUGGUGGUACUGCCAUUCUCUGCCCUGAUGCCUUUGGAGGAGGCAUUUUUUUAGAAAUAGUGCAAUCUUCCCAAGUGGGUGCUCCCCUCCUGGAAGCUCAGCUCUCUGCCUGCACAGGCUUUGCUGCAGCUCACACACCAAUAGUGCUGCUUAGCUCAUCUUGGGGAUACCAUUAACUUUUUUAUUGGAGAUGGUGGGAGAGGGCUGACAGCUGCAGGCCCCUUUCUUACCUGUACACAGAGAACUCCACACUCAAAGGUGUUUCUCCUGUGUGGUUGGGGCUUCACCAUCACACCUGACCACAGAAAAGUGGGAGCAGUUCCUGGGGCUCCCCUGCAAGGGGUAUUUGCACAAGACCACACAAAGCAAUUGCAGAGCUUCCUCAUCCCAGCCCAAACAGCUGCAUCUCCACAGAUACUCCCUCCCUAUCUGACUGCGGCAGGACAUGAUGAUGAAGUUGACUUCAUAGAGUGUCACUACAAACCUGGCAAACUGGUUGAGGUUUCAGCCAUAUUUCUCAGACAUUAGACAUUUUUCAACCAGAAGAUUCCUGACAGUCUGGCAUUUUUUUAAUGUACGGUCUGUAGUGAUUUUGACAGGAAAAUUCCCUCCAUACCCUCUUACUUUCACACAGCCCAAUGUGCUGUGUCAUCCUGCUGUCACAUUGUCCUGAUUCUGGCAUUUUAAAGCAAGACCACUGAGGGAUUUAGCAUACGAGGCACAACCGAUGCCACGCAGGACCUGGAGCUCGUUGUCUCCUUUGCAAAAGGCAGAGAAGGAAGUCACUGUCCGGUCAUUUUGGCUGCUCUCUGCCAUGGCCUGCUAUGCAAUGCAGCCCACUUCAGCUGACAGACUUCUAGAAAGAAUCAGAAAAGUCAAAAUUACCUUCUGCUCCACAGCAGGUCUACCAGUGAUUUGUUUUUCUCUAAGCGAGGCAGCUGCAGGAUACACUGUUCUCUGCAGUUUUAACUGUCAUUCUCUCCUGAUUUUAUUUUCAAAUCCACAGUUCAAAUGCAUUCUCCAUUUAUAGGAAGGGCAAAUGGCACUGAUAUGGUCUUUUCUCCCCUGUGCACCUAUCUUCCCCACAGGAUACUUAGAAAUGUGCCCAUUCCUUCUUCCUCCCCAAGAAGCUCUCUGUAUUUUGCAAAAAGGAGAAGCUGUAGUCAAAAAUGAUUUUUGCUUGAGGAAAAAAGGCAGUGGGAAUAAAUGCACUUUCUCCCACAUUUAGCAGAGGUGGAGAGGCUGAACAGUAAAAGCUAGGACAGAGUGAGACCAGCCGGAGCAAGCAAACAUUCCCUGGGGAAAUGGGGCACUUUGUGCCCUUGGAUAAAAGAGAUCUCUUGUACCUUCACCUGGUGCUGCCUGUGCCACACAGCUUCUCUCUGAGCACACUCGCUGAAGCUUUUCCUUGUCUCUCCAAACACAAGCCUUAAUGCACUACAGAAAACAGAGCUGCUGGCAGCCCUGUGCUGCAGCAGCCAUGGCCCAUCACCUUUGCGGCAGGGGAAGUGGCAGCAGGGCCACUGCAACCAGCAGCAGCUGAAAAAG
ensembl:lncRNA